rnacentral:rRNA from 1 species
AACAACUGGAAACGGUUGCUAAUACCCCAUAUGCUUUCGAGUGAAAUGGAUUUUUCCGCCUAAAGAGAAGCUUGCGGCUGAUUAGCUUGUUGGUGAGGUAAUGGCUCACCAAGGCGACGAUCAGUAUCUGGUUUGAGAGGACGAUCAGACACACUGGAACUGAGACACGGUCCAGACUCCUACGGGAGGCAGCAGUGGGGAAUUUUCCGCAAUGGGCGAAAGCCUGACGGAGCAAUACCGCGUGAGGGAUGACGGCCUAUGGGUUGUAAACCUCUUUUUUCAGGGAGGAAUCAAAUGACGUGUACCUGAAGAAUAAGCAUCGGCUAACUCCGUGCCAGCAGCCGCGGUAAGACGGAGGAUGCAAGUGUUAUCCGGAAUCACUGGGCGUAAAGCGUCUGUAGGUGGUCCAAUAAGUCAACUGUUAAAUCUUGAGGCUCAACCUCAAAACCGCAGUCGAAACUAUUAGACUAGAGUAUAGUAGGGGUAAAGGGAAUUUCCAGUGGAGCGGUGAAAUGCGUAGAGAUUGGAAAGAACACCGAUGGCGAAGGCACUUUACUGGGCUAUUACUGACACUCAGAGACGAAAGCUA